UACGUAGGGGGCAAGCGUUAUCCGGAUUUACUGGGUGUAAAGGGAGCGUAGGUGGUGAUGCAAGUCAGAAGUGAAAGCCCUCGGCUCAACUGAGGGACUGCUUUUGAAACUGUAUGACUAGAGUGCAGGAGGGGUAAGCGGAAUUCCUAGUGUAGCGGUGAAAUGCGUAGAUAUUAGGAAGAACACCGGUGGCGAAGGCGGCUUACUGGACUGAAACUGACACUGAGGCUCGAAAGCGUGGGGAG
rnacentral:rRNA from 1 species